rfam:Spinacia oleracea cultivar SynViroflay scaffold1759.con0002.1, whole genome shotgun sequence.
GUGUCUAUAGCUCAGUGGAUAGAGCGUGUUGUUUCUAAGCAAAAGGUCGUGGGUUUGAACCCUACCUAACGUG